AUGCAGAGAAGCACCGCCGUCAAUGCACAGGACCUCUGUGUCUUUCUGGAACUCCUGCUCAUCGGUCUCGUCAUCAUCCAUAUCUUCAUCGUCGUCGUCAUCUUCAUCCUUGUCGCGGCCGCGAGGAGGUCUGUCUCCUUGCCGCUGCUUGGCCUUGCCGCGGCGUCCUCCUCGGCCGGGGCAUUUCUUGCCGGCUCCUCCAGCACCUUCCUGGGCCUUCUCCUUGUCGUGUCGCUCGUAUUCAGCCUUUUGCUGCUCGACAAGCUGCUCGACCUUCUUGCAGCUCUGGAGAUCGUGGCCCUUGGUGCGGUGGAUCUUGCAGUACUGCUUGUUGGUGCCGUCCUGCUUGUCGGCAACUGCCACAACCUAGUAGUUGGUGCCUGCGGCAAUCUCCUCGCCGGAGCUACCAGCUUUGGCUUUCUUGGCGCCACCUCCGUUGCCGGACUGCUCAACGACUAG
rnacentral:rRNA from 1 species